UAAAGUGUGACGAGGUAAGUAGGAUACUUCCAGACGCGCAGAAUAAUAUAUCCUUCUCGUAUGUUUGUUUUCAUAAUUCAAUUUGCUACUUUUUAAACGUCAAACGUAUUUAUGUACUGAAAAGAGAUUAUUAUGUACUUCAGUCGUAUCAAAGUGCGUCAUCGUUUAAAAAAUGGAAUAAAGCACAAUCAUUUCAAAUGAUGUUUCGCCUCUCACAAAUGGGAAUGGCAAGAGUAAAACAACGCUGUCGCCGUCGAAUGCUAUCAACCAGACUGCAAAUGGAAUUGUAUACAAUAAAGAGUAACAUAAACAACACUGAAACGGAAAAGCAACCACGGUAGCAGCAGUAUCAGGAAGAGGAGAAUUCUAUGAUGAUCCUAAUCGGAGCAAAUCUUCAUUCGAAAAGGUUCCUCUACACACAGCCUUCUAGUAUAUUUUGGCUUUUACCUGCUUAUGAUAUUGGGCUACAUCAAUCAAUUUAUGUGUGCCCCAAAAGAGCUAAAGAAAAUAAUCGAGAGGGCUAUGUUACGCUAUACGAUACCUUCGAGAAUUCUAUUCACGGUAUGUCUAUCGGAAGGUCCGAGAUUGCUGGGAUUCCCCAAUUUGCAGUGUCCCUGGGGGGGAGGCAACUCUCAAAGAUCGCAUAACCAAGGAUUACGGUAGGACAUUUGAGUUCACUGGAAAAGAAACAAGAUGCUUGAACAGCGUUGCAGAACAUACGGCUAGGCUUUAGGCAGUCCCCGUUGUAAAAUGUGUUGGAGUAUUCUAUUGUCCGAAGUUAUUGCAUUGAUGAAGAAAUACAAACCUUAUUUGUAUUUGUAUGAGACGCAUAGUGUGGUAGCGAUGAGAGCAAAUGGUCGCGGUAUUGUCGACUAUUAUGGCGCCGACCCGAAAGAUGUUGAUAUUCUAAUGGGAAUAUUUAAAAAGAGCUUUGGCAGUGCUGGUGGUUAUAUUGCUGGAACAAAGAAACUAAUUGAUUGAAACAACUAGCUCGGAAUACACCAUAUUUCCGACGACGAUUGGCCCAAUUAGGUGCCAUUACCUAUGACCAUGAAGAUUCUUCUGUUGUACCGAUGCUCGUCUAUCUUUUUUCCAAAAUUGGGCAAGUAAUUGUUAAACAUUUUGUAUAAAUAGCUAUUAGAAGGUUCAACUCAAAGAUACUUCGCUUCAAACGGAAAAAGUGUGCAAACGGAAAAGUUUCUCUUUAAAUAUAUUAGUUAUCCCAAGCGUUCACUUUGAGUCGAAUAUUAUUUGAUUAUUUAUUUGUAAAAUGUGAAUUAUAUAAAUUGUAUUAUUUUAUUUUACAGAGCUGUAAGUCGUACACAAACUUUCCGUAAGGUAGCGGUUGUUGGAGUUGGGUUUCCUGCCACUCCAAUUAUGGAAGGACGUACAUAUACGCUUAAUAGCAGUUUGAUUAUGCCUUACAAGUGAUUCAGUAAUCAGUUUGCCUAAAGUAUUCAUGUAAAGUAAGAGAUUCUAAUCCAAUUAUUUAUUAAGUUAAAAGGAAUAAAUAAAUAAUAAUAAAUAAAUGAAUAAGGUCAUUUUAUAAUUCGUUUAAUACGAAUUUCAUUUAUUUGAUGUAUUUUCCCAUAUACAUAUAUAUAAGUAUAAAGUUAGUUACU